GCCUGGCUGGCUCAGUCAGUAGAGCAUGUGACUCUCAAUCGCAGGGUCAUGAGUUCAAGCCACACAUUGGGCA
rnacentral:tRNA from 1 species